UACGUAGGGACCGAGCGUUGUCCGGAUUCAUUGGGCGUAAAGAGCUCGUAGGCGGCCACUCAAGUCGAAUGUGAAACCUCGAGGCUUAACCUCGAGCCUGCAUUCGAUACUGGGCGGCUAGAGUCUGGUAGGGGGAUCUGGAAUUCCUGGUGUAGCGGUGGAAUGCGCAGAUAUCAGGAGGAACACCGGUGGCGAAGGCGGGAUCCUGGGCCAGUACUGACGCUGAGGAACGAAAGCUAGGGGAGCAAACAGG
rnacentral:rRNA from 1 species